UUCAGUCUGACUCUUCUCAGAGUGAACACUUGUACAAUGGAUCUUCAUUCAGUUAUUCUGUUCUGUGCUUCAGCAGCUGCUGUCUUUGGAAAUGUCAUCAAACCAAACAAAACCAAUGUUGAGGAGGGUUCGAAUGUUAUAUUGUCCUGCAGUCAUUCACCUGCAGCUUCAGAUACUCUCUACUGGUACCGUCAGUAUGGAAGAUCAAAACCUGAAUUUCUUGUACUCACCUUCGCUAGUGCAAAAGAAGCUGAGGUGUCUGAUGUAGAUUCAAGAUUCUCUGUUAAAGUUGAAAAAAGGGAACAAAUCCAUGUGGAUCUGGAGAUCUCCUCUGCUGCUGUAUCAGACUCUGCUCUGUACUACUGUGCUCUGAGGCCCACAGUGACAGGAAACACAUCAGCUCUCUACAAAAACCUAUUCCAUUGAGAGACAGGGAAAAAGACAGCAAGAAAUAAAGCAAAUAAACGUUAAAUUAUCUCAAAUUAUUCUCGUGUACAGUGUAUAGUACAUACUAUACAUCCACAUGGAGUUCCUGCUUGUUCCAAAUUCUGAUUACAUUUUAUAUAAAAAUAGCUAGACUAUAAAUACUAAAUAUUCUUCAUUCUUUUCAUCAGUCAAAAAUGAAAAUGAUAAAUGCAAAGACAUCAAGUAUUUGAGCAAUGCCUUUAUAAAGCAGGAAGUUCCUGUGUGUGUUUGUGACGAUCUGCAGUGACUUACAGCUCAGAGCACUGA